ACUUUAUAAAUGAACGCGUGACUUCCGUUCUCCCCUCUCUGAAUGCUGGAACCAUGCGGUAUACCUGCGUGGCCAACUUUAUUCUUGUAUCUGAGAUGCUGCAUCCCCUGUUGAACAAAUGUGGCAGAACAGCAACUGUGGGGAACAAAGGCAGAGCUGCUUACUGUGGAGCUGACAGUGGUGCUGCAGGCUGAUUAAAGGAGCAUGUGGGGCAACUGGUCUGGAGGGGGCGGCAGACGCCCGUGAGGAACUAAGCCUGACACCAGGGCUCAGUGAUUCCUGCCAUGCUGCUGUGGAAAAAUUCAUGUGUCCAUGUGGCUGCGGACAGUCACCGCUACACCCACGUUUAGCUGCAUUGCUCAGCCUGAUGAGCCUGUAGCUUCACAGCAAGAAGGCUCUGGGUUUGAGCCCCAGGCCGACCAGGGACCUUUCUGUGCGGAGUUUGCAUGUUCUCCCUGUGCCUGUGUGUUCUCUCUGGGUACUCCGGCUCCCUCCCACAGUCCAGAGACAUGCAGCUUGAUUGUCCUAAAUUUAAGUCAUUGCCCAUCCUUAACUCCUGGUAUUGGGUAACGCAUCUUAACGACGAAAAGGAGCACUUGGUUUGGUGCAAGGCAUCUGCUAAUGCGAACAUGGCAGAAUCAUUGUCACGUGAGACUGAGUUUGCACAGGGAUCUCAAUCAUGCUCACAAAAGGAUUUAUAUUGCAGCCCUAGAAGGCAUCUACAUUUGCCAUCUGCAGGAAAUGGUCAUAGUCCUACCACAAUGUAAAAUCUGUGUUGGUUCCAUCCUGAAUGUGUACAAAGGUUUCAAUAAAGUGUUGUUGAAGCACCAGUUCAGUUUGAGACAUUUACCUCCACAGAAAGGUUUUCUGUUAAAUCUGAAUCUUAAAGGGUAUGUUCAGUGUUCCAAAGUUGGUCUACAAAGUUCAUAUAAAGAACAAAACAAUUUUACUGUCUCUUGUUACUGACACCUGUACACUGGCUCUCAGCAGAGAGCCUCAUGCAGGGAUGGACUUUAUACCAUUAGGCAAGGAAGACAUUGCCUGAGGCUGCAGUAGCCACAAAUGUACCACCAUGUUUUGACACACUUGAUUCUAAAACUAAAGACAAAAGAACACAAGCUUUUUUUGUGCAUAUGUUGAUGUAUAUUCUUGUUCUGUGCCCUCUCCAGGGAUGUGCUUUGUCCCUAUAAGGUAGAACCACAAUGGUAUCUAGUUCUUCUGACUGGCCCAGUCUGAGAAUAGCUUGACUUUAAUGCAUUAAAUGUACAGGAAGUUGAUCAUGGGCCAGCUCAAACAGAUGCCACCCAUUCAAAGGAGCUUAAAUCAAAAAGACUGAACUUUGAAGUGAGAAAAUAUUCUUUUGAGAUCUGUCUUCACUGUCUAAAACUCUUCUUGUUUCUCUCCCUCUUUCUGGUAAGAAUUUGAGUACAGAAUGUGUUUUAUAAUUGCAUUAAAACUUUGUCAGAUG